rnacentral:rRNA from 1 species
AGUCUGACGGAGCAACGCCGCGUGAGUGAUGAAGGAUUUCGGUUCGUAAAGCUCUGUUGUUAGGGAAGAACAAGUGCCGUUCGAAUAGGGCGGCACCUUGACGGUACCUAACCAGAAAGCCACGGCUAACUACGUGCCAGCAGCCGCGGUAAUACGUAGGUGGCAAGCGUUGUCCGGAAUUAUUGGGCGUAAAGCGCGCGCAGGCGGUCUUUUAAGUCUGAUGUGAAAGCCCACGGCUCAACCGUGGAGGGUCAUUGGAAACUGGGAGACUUGAGUACAGAAGAGGAGAGUGGAAUUCCACGUGUAGCGGUGAAAUGCGUAGAUAUGUGGAGGAACACCAGUGGCGAAGGCGACUCUCUGGUCUGUAACUGACGCUGAGGCGCGAAAGCGUGGGGAGCAAACAGGAUUAGAUACCCUGGUAGUCCACGCCGUAAACGAUGAGUGCUAGGUGUUAGGGGUUUCGAUGCCCUUAGUGCCGAAGUUAACACAUUAAGCACUCCGCCUGGGGAGUACGACCGCAAGGUUGAAACUCAAAGGAAUUGACGGGGGCCCGCACAAGCAGUGGAGCAUGUGGUUUAAUUCGAAGCAACGCGAAGAACCUUACCAGGUCUUGACAUCCUUUGACCACCCUAGAGAUAGGGCUUUCCCCUUCGGGGGACAAAGUGACAGGUGGUGCAUGGUUGUCGUCAGCUCGUGUCGUGAGAUGUUGGGUUAAGUCCCGCAACGAGCGCAACCCUUGAUCUUAGUUGCCAGCAUUCAGUUGGGCACUCUAAGGUGACUGCCGGUGACAAACCGGAGGAAGGUGGGGACGACGUCAAAUCAUCAUGCCCCUUAUGACCUGGGCUACACACGUGCUACAAUGGAUGGUACAAAGAGCAGCAAAACCGCGAGGUCGAGCCAAUCUCAUAAAGCCAUUCUCAGUUCGGAUUGUAGGCUGCAACUCGCCUACAUGAAGCCGGA